rnacentral:lncRNA from 1 species
CACACCUGUAAUCUGUUAUAGAGAACUUACUUUUGAAAUUAAAUAGAAAAAUUUAUAUUUUAAGAUUUUCACAUCAGUAAUCUGUUAUAGAGAACUAACGUAUUUAUUGCUGUUUCUAUUUUUAUUCUUAUAUUUAAAAUUUUUCGUACGGAAAGAGAAAAAUUGGCGCUAAUUUUCUCGCCGAAAAAUGGAUCUGUCGACAGACCCAAAUUUGAAUAUACGUGCUUAUAUAUAUAUAUAUAUAUAUAUAAAUUUGAUGUUAUAUUUGAAUUUGUAUUUUAAAAUUUUAGGUUUAAUAUAAUAUAUUUUGAAAUAUUGAAAAAAGAAAUAAUUGUUUCCGGUUCAAAUUUUCGGGUUUGGGUUUGGGUUCGGGUUUCGGAUUUUUUGUCGGGUUCAAGUUUGGAUAUGGAUUUUUAAAAUCCGUCGUGUUCGGGUUUGGAUUCGGGUUCGGAUUUGGGUCUCGGGUUUGGAGUCGGGUUCGGGUUUUUAAAAAUCCAUCCCGAAUCCGACCCGUUGACAUCUCUAAUGUCAACAGUUAAAAAAUAUGUUAAACUUAAUGGAAUCACCAUGUCAGCACUUAUUUGGCUUUUUUUUACAUGUAAAUUUUAGGCCCUAAACUUUACACAUUUUUUAUAUUAGUCUCCAAAAAUAAAAUUUUAGAUUUUUGAACUUAAGUUCUGAAUUAAUAUUAAAAUUAAAAUUUUAAACUAACUAA